GUCGAACGGUGAAAGAGAGCUUGCUCUCUGGAUCAGUGGCGAACGGGUGAGUAACACGUGAGCAAUCUGCCCCUGACUCUGGGAUAACAGUUGGAAACAGCUGCUAAUACCGGAUACGAGCUUCGAAGGCAUCUUCAGAAGCUGGAAAGAACUUCGGUCAGGGAUGAGCUCGCGGCCUAUCAGCUAGUUGGUGAGGUAAUGGCUCACCAAGGCGUCGACGGGUAGCCGGCCUGAGAGGGUGACCGGCCACACUGGGACUGAGACACGGCCCAGACUCCUACGGGAGGCAGCAGUGGGGAAUAUUGCACAAUGGGCGCAAGCCUGAUGCAGCAACGCCGCGUGAGGGACGACGGCCUUCGGGUUGUAAACCUCUUUUAGCAGGGAAGAAGCGAAAGUGACGGUACCUGCAGAAAAAGCGCCGGCUAACUACGUGCCAGCAGCCGCGGUAAUACGUAGGGCGCAAGCGUUAUCCGGAAUUAUUGGGCGUAAAGAGCUCGUAGGCGGUUUGUCGCGUCUGCUGUGAAAACUGGAGGCUCAACCUCCAGCCUGCAGUGGGUACGGGCAGACUAGAGUGCGGUAGGGGAGAUUGGAAUUCCUGGUGUAGCGGUGGAAUGCGCAGAUAUCAGGAGGAACACCGAUGGCGAAGGCAGAUCUCUGGGCCGUAACUGACGCUGAGGAGCGAAAGGGUGGGGAGCAAACAGGCUUAGAUACCCUGGUAGUCCACCCCGUAAACGUUGGGAACUAGUUGUGGGGUCCAUUCCACGGAUUCCGUGACGCAGCUAACGCAUUAAGUUCCCCGCCUGGGGAGUACGGCCGCAA
rnacentral:rRNA from 1 species